rnacentral:sRNA from 1 species
GGUAGGCCUGCGCGCCCGCACCCCCGGCCCGGCCCGGUCCCUAACCCGUCGCGCCUGCACUCGGUCACCCGCCACUCUCGUCCCGUAGCCUUCGAGGCCACUCGCUUCUACAACGUCAGCGCGCACAGCCCACUCGCCCGGGAACUGUGCGCCGGACCCGUGUGCAAUGAGGUGGAGAGCGCCCCUGCCCGGGGCCCGGAGCAGCCGCUGCGGGCCUCGGCGUCCUCCACCUACGGGGAUGACCUGGCUUCUGUGGCCCCGAGGCAUUUACAGCAGGACGUGAAGCUGAAUGGAGCCGGCCUUGAGGUGGUGGACUCAGACCCUGAGCCUGAAGGGGAGGCGGAGGACAGUCAGAGCGGCUUCUCUUCCUAACGGCUGCCCUGCUGAGAGCAGGACGACACCAUCCGGCUGCAUCCUGUCCCUAUCAGCCUGUGACUCUGCCUGGUGCGUGGGCAGACCUCAGCCCAGGUGACACCUGCCUCUAAAUGAACCCAAGGAACAGAAUGGCAGAGAUCUGCCCGUCCCUAGGAUGAGACUCUUGGGAGCCAGGUGUGGGCUCAGCAGUCACCGGUGUGGUGCAGGGGGUCCAGCUGGAGGUCCCUUGGGAGAUCCCCCACCUUCCCAGCUACAGCUGGAGCUCCAAGCACCCCAACCCCCCAGCCUUGGAGUUGGACAUCAUUUUCCUGGGGCCACGGCGGCUCCCAC